rnacentral:lncRNA from 1 species
CAACAAAAAGUUUAGCAACACAAGAUGAAGCUCCACAAUAUUACAAUAGCAACAAGAACAAACGGGUUACAUUAACAACACAAGAAGCUGAAACUAAAACAAGAUACAAGAUAGGUAAUUAGACAAGUGUUGAUGUAGUAUUAACAGCCCAAGAGCAUAUUCCACUCUUGGACCUUUAAAACUUUACACAACAAACACCUAACUCUUACAAUUGACACAAGAGAGGCAUCCACCACCCAAGCACCAACGUAUCAAGCAAAAUGCAACACAUAAGAGAAUCCACCCUUAUGUUAUGCCCUAGUUUCAUGAAAAUUCUCUCUCACUCUAAGAGAAGUAUUCUUCAAUAAUAAUGAUCAACUAAAGAAAUAAACCCUACAAUGUUCUAUUUAUACUACAUUACAAUAAUAGAUAAAAUGACAAAAGGGCCCUUUAGUGACUAGUCUUCAAAAAUACUCAAAAGUGUCAUGAUUAUGGUCAUACUUGUAUCAUCCUCUCCAUAUUGAGAGGAAUUUUCCCACAAAUUCAUAACCUCACCUCUUUUACAAAGAAACUUCACAAUCUUCUUCGCACGGCCACACAUCUUCUAAAUCUUCCUCGCCUUGCAUUUUAACCUCUUUUUGCUCUCCAUCUUGAGGCUUGCCAUCAACCUUAGCCAAUUCAAUUACUACUUCUUCCCCAAGAUAGUUCAAUUUUCCCUCCUUUAGGAUCACAUUCCUCUGAUUUGGGCACUCACUAGCCUUGUGCCCCCACCUUUGGCAUUUGAAGCAUUAAAACCCCUUGGGAUUGGAAGUAGAAUUCAAUUUACCUUCAUACCUUAGAGGAUGUUUUUGGACAACCUUGGUGGCCUCGGGUUGGGUAGCCAUGAAUGAGUUAUCUUUGAGCUCUCUCUCAACGUCUAAAUCCGCAUGGAAGAUGCCAUCUAUGGUGUCAAAUUUGUGAAGCGUCAUGCGAGUGGAGAUGUCCUUGUUUAACCCAACCUUAAAGCGCACAAUGUCAUGACUUACUUGAUCGCCUCGGUGGUCAAGUUUCAACAUCAAUUGUUGAAACUCAUCAUAGUAAGCCAUGGCACUUUUGUUCCCUUGCCUCAAAUUGUACAAUUUAGUAAGGAGCUCAUGCCUAUAAGUCUCGGGCAAGUACCUUUGUCGCAUAAGGUUCUUCAAUCAAAACCAAGGAGGAGGUUGUGCCCCAAUCAUCUCAUUCCCAAACCAUUUAACAUACUUCCACCAUGUAAGGUAGGCUUUGGGAUCACUCUCACCUUUGAAAACGGGAAGGCUCACUUUGAUAGAAUUGAGACCUACAUCUCGGUUUGGGUGUCCAUCUCUCACCUCUCGGCCUAAAUCCCCAUGUCUACACCUAAUUCUUUCUUUAAUCAAGUAAACAUCAUCAUACGGCCUAUAACCAUCAUGUUGUCCUCCCCUACCAUAUCGCUCAACAUGGAUGGGUCUAUUUGUGUUAAGUGGAGCUUGUAGUGGCGGGAUUGGAUUUGGAUAGUGAGGUCUUUGGUCAAGUGGAGUUUGGAUGUGAGGGUUUGGGUUUGGUGAUGGUAUUUAGGUUCCAAGACCUUCUUGUUGUACUUGGUGGAGUGGAGGAUGGCUUGGUCUAUCCUGUUCUCGGCUUCGGGAGUAAAGAUUGGUUUGAUUUAUGGCAAUUGGUGUAUAAUACAUUUGGUGCAAGGUCUCGGGAGUAUUAGUUGGGGAAAUGUUUUGAGGGGUAGAAGGUCGACUCCUUUGGCUUUCCACACGUUCUAAUCUCCCACUCAUUGAUGUCACAUCCACACUAAUUUCUCAAGACCCACAUUCAACCUAGCCACAUCUCGGGACAUAGUUUCAAGGCGAGCCAAAAUGAGAUUGAUGGCAUUAUUAUCCAUUGUUUGAGCAUUUGAAGCCUCGAGUUCCAUUGUGGUGGUAUAAACCUUCAAGUUACGGUCCAAUCAAGAUACCAAAUCAGUCCGCAACGUUACAUACAACAAUACAAUGCAAAACCUACAACACAAAACACACGUUAUUUCAAAACAACCUCCCACAAUGAGAUCCCACCUUCAAGUUUCUUCAAACUCAAGCUCAACAUUGGUGGAUGGCUCAAAUAACCUCCAAUUUAGCUCAAAUUCGAACCCUUUACUCCUACAGUGUUAGAGAACACAAAUCUAACACUAAAAACAUAAGAAAAACACAAAAUCAAAAACUCAAAAUUUGACCUAGGGUCAAAAAUGGGUUUAGUAUAUUUUUGGGGGAUUUUCAAUUUUGACACUUCUUUUUUUGUUAGGAUUUUCAAUUUCUAUACUCUAAUAGUAUUAGGGAACAAGAUCUAACACUAGAAACACACAAAACAAGAAAGAAGAGGAUACAAGGUGUUAAUACACUAAAACAGCCAACCAACAACAAGUUUAGCAACACAAGAUGAAGCUCCACAAUAUUACAAUAGCAACAAGAACAAAUGGGUUACAUUAACAACACAAGAAGCUGAAACUAAAACAAGAUACAAGAUAGGUAGUUAGACAAGUGUUGAUGUAGUCUUAAUAACCCAAGAGCAUAUUCCACUCUUGGACCUUUAAAAAUUCACACAACAAACACCUAACUCUUACAAUUGACACAAGAGAGGCGUCCACCACCCAAGCACCAACGUAUCAAGCAAAAUGCAACACACAAGAGAAUCCACCUUUAUGUUAUGCCCUAGUUUCAAUUGGACUCUCUCUCACUCUAAGAGAAAUAUUCUUCAAUAAUAAUGAUCAACUAAAGAAAUAAACCUACAAUGUUCUAUUUAUACUACAUUACAAUAAUAGACAAAAUGACAAAAGGGCCC